UGGGGAAUAUUGGACAAUGGGCGAAAGCCUGAUCCAGCCAUGCCGCGUGUGUGAAGAAGGUCUUCGGAUUGUAACGCACUUUAAGUUGGGAGGAAGGGCAUUAACCUAAUACGUUAGUGUUUUGACGUUACCGACAGAAUAAGCACCGGCUAACUCUGUGCCAGCAGCCGCGGUAAUACAGAGGGGGCAAGCGUUAAUCGGAAUUACUGGGCGUAAAGCGCGCGUAGGUGGUUUGUUAAGUUGGAUGUGAAAUCCCCGGGCUCAACCUGGGAACUGCAUUCAAAACUGACUGACUAGAGUAUGGUAGAGGGUGGUGGAAUUUCCUGUGUAGCGGUGAAAUGCGUAGAUAUAGGAAGGAACACCAGUGGCGAAGGCGACCACCUGGACUAAUACUGACACUGAGGUGCGAAAGCGUGGGGAGCAAACA
rnacentral:rRNA from 1 species